GAAAGCAGGACAUGACCAAGGAAGGGCAGGGCUCAGAGCAGCUUCCUGCACCAAUAUGUAUCCCAGGUCCUGGGGAAAAGAUCUUACAGGAUUUUCAGAUCCUGGUGCAGAAGGUGGGGGGGAGGCCUGAGGUUCUUCUUAUUGGGGAGACCCUGGAAGGCAAGGACAUUCAUAAGAUGAUGACCUCUUUUGUUAAGGACUUGUUUUCUGCCCCUUGUCACCCAGUCCACCCUGCCGAAGCUUUGAAGGAGCCUUGUGUCACCUGCCCUUUUGGUGGCAAGCAAUGCCAGCUUAUCUUCUUUCUGUGCCGUGCCUCCUGCAUGAAGGGCAAGGAGACUGAGUUGAGGAAAGUUUUGCAGCAGGUGAAGAAGUAUGUCCAGAAAUCCCCCUGUGCCUUAGUAGGAAUCAUUAUGGAACCCAAGAAAGGGGAGGCUGAGGAAGCCCGGGUCCACCUGCUUCGACUGUUGCGCGGCAUCUUCCCAAAGACCUCACCACAGAAACGGGGCAAACAGCCAGCUACCAAACAAGAUCAGGACCAGGCAGGGUUGUUGGAAUUGGAAGAAGUGGAGGUGGAAGCAGAGGUCUACAUCCCAGGUUAUCCCCGGGGUAACUUGGCCAUCAUGAAGGCAGCCUGUCGUGCUUCGGAAGCCCUGAGCAGAGGUUUUCCGGAGGAGGUCACUAAGGAUCCCCUACCCGUUGCAGGUUCUUCCUGGACUGUCAUCGUCAUCAGAGGUAUUUUGGGGACUUUGUGCAUCAUUGGCAUGGCAUCUGCUGCAGGAUGGUACCUCUACCAGCAAGGCAUGAUACCACCUGACAUGAUCCCUGCAGGUCUGCUUGCUUUCAUUUGAGAAAAAAAGCACUGAAUAGAGCUGUGAAUCAUCAGCAUCCUGAUGUCCUCCUAUCCCCAAGCUUCUAAUGAUUUCCUCCAGUGCUUUUAUGUUAAUAUAACAAUAUUAACACAAUGUUGGAUACCACAGGUAACAAGAUCUUGAAUUCAUCUGGAGUUUAGCUGUC